rnacentral:rRNA from 1 species
UGGGGAAUAUUGGACAAUGGGCGAAAGCCUGAUCCAGCCAUGCCGCGUGAAGGAUGAAGUAUUUCGGUAUGUAAACUUCGAAAGAAUAGGAAGAAUAAAUGACGGUACUAUUUAUAAGGUCCGGCUAACUACGUGCCAGCAGCCGCGGUAAUACGUAGGGACCAAGCGUUGUUCGGAUUUACUGGGCGUAAAGGGCGCGUAGGCGGCAAUUCAAGUCAUCUGUGAAAUCUCCGGGCUUAACUCGGAACGGUCAGAUGAUACUGCUUUGCUAGAGUGCAGAAGGGGCAAUCGGAAUUCUUGGUGUAGCGGUGAAAUGCGUAGAUAUCAAGAGGAACACCUGAGGUGAAGACGGGUUGCUGGGCUGAUACUGACGCUGAGGCGCGAAAGCUAGGGUAGCAAACGGGAUUAGAUACCCCCGUAGUCCCUGAGCGGGCUGGCAAGGCGCAU